UUUUCAGACCGUAACGUUACAGACGUUGGGAUUGAUUACACAGUUAACUUGGUUAUUUUGCUAUUUAAGCUGCUUUGGUUUGGUAGUGUAAAGCAAAACUAAUUCUAACAUUUGGUUUUGGUUUAGGGGGCCAGCAGCAUACUGCUCGAUUUAUUCUAUUGAGGGGGGAGAAUGAUGAGCUGUUCACUGGGGUGAAAUACUCAGCAAGUGUGGCUUGGGGGAUUGCAAGUAUCCAGGGUCAGGAGAGGGGGUAGGUGGGAAACCCACUGCUGCCACUUGGCCCUGGUUUGUCCCCUUGGAUAAGGUAUUGUGACAUAUGCAUUCCACCAACCCCCCUGUCCUAAUUGCCUCCAUCCCUGAGAACACACCAGGGCCAA